rnacentral:rRNA from 1 species
GACGAGGGCGCGAGCGUUGUCCGGAUUUAUUGGGCGUAAUGAGCUCGUAGGCGGUUUGUCGCGUCUGCCGUGAAAGUCCGGGGCUCAACUCCGGAUCUGCGGUGGGUACGGGCAGACUAGAGUGAUGUAGGGGAGACUGGAAUUCCUGGUGUAGCGGUGAAAUGCGCAGAUAUCAGGAGGAACACCGAUGGCGAAGGCAGGUCUCUGGGCAUUAACUGACGCUGAGGAGCGAAAGCAUGGGGAGCGAACAGG